AAAGAGUAUAAUGCAAUUAUGAUUUGUUAGGUUUUGGUUAGAUUUGUAGUUGAAUACUAAUUGGAUUAGAAUUAAUAUUUAAAUCUGUUGGAGAUAAAUUAAGAUUUAAAUAUUAAUUAGAGGAUAAACCUAACUCGAUUAUGAUUAAUAUUUAAAUCUAUUUGAGAUUAAUUAAGAUAAAUUUAGAUAUUGAUUAAAGUCGGAAUCUUAAAUAUACUAGGAUUGGAUACAUCUUUGGUUGAGCAUUAUAUAUAAUGCAUUAGAGGCUAUUGAGGGGAGUAGCAUGGCCAAGAGAGGGAAAGUCUCUUGGGUGUGCGGUACCAGAGAGAAAAAGAGAAAGAGAGAGAGAAUAGCCAAGAGUUGAGUGUACCUAGUGCACGGGUGCAUGUGAAGGAUUGUCUUUUUUGUGGUCUUAAAGAAGACGAGAGAAGGAUAUGAGAGAUUCAGAAAGAGGGCUCGGGUUGUAGUUACUCUAUGCAGAAGAGGAGUCAGAUGUAAUCUUCUCUUAUUUAAUGAAUCUUAUUUUAUCCGCAUAUUUUUCUUUUUUAUAAUUGUAUCAGCUUCUGCUGAGGAGACGUUUUUAUGGUAAAAAUCCGAUUUAAGGCUUCCGUUGCGAAAUCCCAACAGUCGGUGUACCAAUCAGUAUCGGAGC
rnacentral:lncRNA from 1 species